GCUUCUUCUAGAGGUGCUGCAGAUGUGUCUGCUGUGUCAUAUGUGCCUUAGUAGGUGGUUUAAAGAAGAGAUGAUAUGGCUACACUCAGUGUUCUGACUGUGAAAAUUGAAUUAUCAGUAGCCUAAAGU